UACGGAAGGUCCGGGCGUUAUCCGGAUUUAUUGGGUUUAAAGGGAGCGUAGGCCGGCUUUUAAGUCAGCUGUGAAAGUCCGCGGCUCAACCGUGGAAUUGCAGUUGAAACUGGAGGCCUUGAGUGCACACAGGGGUGCCGGAAUUCAUGGUGUAGCGGUGAAAUGCUUAGAUAUCACGCAGAACCCCGAUUGCGAAGGCAGCAUACCGGCGCCCUACUGACGCUGAGGCACGAAAGUGCGGGUAUCGAACAGG
rnacentral:rRNA from 1 species